GCCGGGUGCGGUGGUGCACGCCUGUAAUCCCAGCGGUUUAGGAGGCUGAGGCAGGAGGAUCUUGAAUUCAAAGCCAGCCUAAGCCAGAGCUAGCUCAGUGGCUGAGUGUCCCUGAGUUCAAUCCCUGGUCCCGCCCCGC
rnacentral:sRNA from 1 species